CAGAGCCGGGGAGCCAGACCCGGGAGACAACAGCUGUCGUCUCUGCAGCUCCGGGCACAUACAUAUCAGACCUGAAUGGGGGAAUUCAACCGCGUUGGAUCCCGUUCUCUUUUCAAUCCACCAGAGCUAGUCAAGGCUUAGAGAGAAUUUGGUAGAGACAGUGAAUGCUUCAGAGGACUUUUCAAAUCUACCCUUUCCUCAUCUGAUUUAACCCCUGCUGACAUUAAACAGCUUUUUUCCUGCCUGAUAACUCAAAAGGAGUACCUCUUGUGGGAGGCGGCAUGGAAAAAAGAAGCGACAGCCAAUUUGCCAAUUCUAUGGGGUGAUAAGACUACUGCCACUGAUGUUUUUGGAAAGUUAGAGAAAGGGAGUGGGGUGAUGGAGCAAGUCAGGCAGAAAGCAUUCCCAGAAAAGCUCUCAAAGAAAGUGUUAAAGCAGCUGAGAAGGCUUUCUUCCGGUUGCAUCCUGAUGCUCCAUUUGAUAAUUAUUUGAAAAGAACACAAUUUCCAUUUGAGUCUUUCAUAAGUUUUGUGGAAAGGUUGAGAAAAACUGUGGACUUGCAAGUUCAAAUGAAGGAGCAAGGCUGGAAGUCCUCACCAAGAUUGCAGAGCAAAAUGCCAAUGAAAAGUGUAAAGCUGCCAUCCUGAGCCUGCCCCUCGAUCCAACACCAACACUACAAGCAAUGUUAGAAGUCUGUGCCAUGAAAGUUACCAACACCCCUGCUGAUCAAGACGAGAGACCAAAACCAAUGAGGAGGAUUGCAGCUGCAGACGUCCCCAACCAUCUGAUCCAGCACCCACCAGCUAGCUUCAACGUGUCAUGAUGCCACAGGGAAAAAUCUCCAACUCUAACCAUCCCUGAUAUCUUUGUGGGAGAUUAGGGCAUUGGACGCCCAACUGCCCUCUGAAAAAGGAGUUUUUUGAUUUUAAAUAUAGUAAUCAUAAAAAUCAGAAUUCCCCAAAAGAGAACCUUCCAAAAAACUGAAUCAAGAGCGCCCCUUAUCCCAGCGCUAUGACAAAAAUAGGGUGGGAUCAAUUCCGGCACAGGGGGGAAAUGAAAAACCAAUUUUGAGAGAACUACCUGUGCCAAAUCAGACACUUGCAUUAGACAUGACAAAACAUUCGUCUCACUAUGAUAAUCCCAUGCCAAUUCUAACCACCAAUUCUUCCCAUAACCCUUUCAGGCUGGUAUUGGCAGAGCCUCUCCAUUUCAAGAACAGUGACUGGCAUUUUACAACUGUUAACCCUGAACAACCAGGUUCACACAGAAGCACCAUGGACAUAUCAUUCAGGUUCUGUAUGGAUAGCAACCAGGUUAUUCCCUUAAAGUUGCACCAGGUGAGCAGAGGCUGGAUGUCAGCAGGGAAAAGUCCACUGUGCUGAGCAGUUCAGAAGCUAAGGUUCAUGUUUACCUUUGUGGAAAGUCUGAAUGGGCUGGACUCUGUGUGUUGCAAUGAGGGAGCAGUCUUACUAGUCAGGGGAUAUACAGACACAUGGGACACUCAUUACACACAGAAAAAUGGAGACACAAAUCUCUUCCUGCAUGGCUUAAGUAAUUUGGAAAAAAAGGUCUAAUGAUUUAUGCUGUAAGAGCACUGUAAAACAUGGAGUGGUGUAACAAAAUCUGAAGUUAAUACCAAACUCCGCAGGCUGGUGUGGCAUAUGGGUGUUAGGACAGCACUGUUCUUACUGCACUAUCAACGGCCCUACGGCAUGCUGGUGGGGCAGAUAAGAGGGACAGGUCUGUCUGACACUGUUGAGUCAGGGACGGAAUGAAAGACUCCAUUCUUCAGAAGGUGAAUCAGAAGGCCAAAGACCAGUUUAAUGAAAGUAGCAGGUUGUUUUAUAAUGUGACUCGCUAAGGUGAGACUUGAUUGGCCUCUAAGUAAAAGCUUCUCACACUAUUGGUGAACUAUGAAUAGCACAUUCUGGAGAAUCAUAUCUAUAAACAAUGGUUACAGAAAGAGAGAUAAUAAUUGUUUUAAUUAUUUUUUCUAAGUUUCCCACAGCAUCUCACAGUUUCCAAGGAAAAUUCUGGGACAGCUUUCUCUGUUCAGACUACGGUCUGUCCCCACAAAAAAAGUGCAAGAGAAACAACUGAAGGUAUGAAAUCAAUGAGCAAAAUCCCUUUGUGGCUAUUCCUACCCCAGCUUUUGCAGACUUAGAUCCUCUGCAGCCUCAUCUCCACACCUUGCUGUUCCUGAGCAUUUCCACACAGUCUGGGUGACAAUCAUGUCCUACCAGGGCCCUGAGGGCACAGGCAAAACAACGGGGGAAGUUUACACUGCAGCUUCCCCUCCGCUGGGUUGCUGCUGAGAAACUCCUCUUUUGUGCGCUUACUUAC